rnacentral:rRNA from 1 species
GACGAACGCUGGCGGCGUGCUUAACACAUGCAAGUGGAGCGACGAACCAGGCUUCGGCCUGGGGCAGAGCCGCGAACGGGUGAGUAACACGUGGGUAACCUGCCCUGAUGAUCGGGACAACCCGGGGAAACCCGGGCUAAUACCGAAUGUGCCCGCGAGCCGCAAGGCUUGCGAGGAAAGGAAGCUUCGGCCUCCGCAUCGGGGAUGGGCCCGCGGCCCAUUAGCUUGUUGGUGGGGUAACGGCCUACCAAGGCAGCAAUGGGUAGCUGGUCUGAGAGGACGAUCAGCCACACUGGGACUGAGACACGGCCCAGACUCCUACGGGAGGCAGCAGUGGGGAAUAUUGGACAAUGGGCGCAAGCCUGAUCCAGCCAUGCCGCGUGAGUGAUGAAGGCCUUAGGGUUGUAAAGCUCUUUUGCCGGGG